GUAGAUAUAGUUUAAACAAAAUAUUAGAUUGUGAUUCUAAAGAUAGAGGUUAAAAUCCCCUUAUCCACC
rnacentral:tRNA from 1 species